CCUACGGGGGGCAGCAGUGAGGAAUAUUGGUCAAUGGCCGGAAGGCUGAACCAGCCAUGCCGCGUGAAGGUCAGUGCCCUAUGGGCGUUAAACUUCUUUUGUGCGGGAGCAAUAAUGGUCACGUGUGGCCAGACGAGAGUACCGUACGAAUAAGCAUCGGCUAAAUCCGUGCCAGCAGCCGCGGGUAUACGGGGGAUUCAAGGGGUAUCCGGAUUUAUUGGGGUUAAAGGGUGCGGAAGGUGGGAGGUAAGUCAGCGGUGAAAUGUCGCGGCUCAACGGGGUGAAGUGCCAUUGAUACUGCCUUGCUGGAAUGCGGAUGCGGUGGGAGGAAUGUGUGGUGUAGCGGUGAAAUGCAUAGAUAUCACACAGAACACCGAUUGCGAAGGCAUCUCACGAAUCCGCGAUUGACGCUGAUGCACGAAAGCGUGGGUAUCAAACAGGAUUAGAUACCCUAGUAGUC
rnacentral:rRNA from 1 species